GCUCUAUAAGUAUAACCAUGUACAACUACCUUCCAAGUAGAAAGACUUUUAAUAAAGAUAGAACA
rnacentral:tRNA from 1 species